rnacentral:rRNA from 1 species
AUGGCAGAAUGCUUCAAUAAGGUGCUCAAGGGUGUAUGUGCAUUACCCGUGAUGGCAAUAGUUCAAUACACAUUUGACAAGAUGAAUGAAUACUUUUUGAAGCACUCAAUGGAGACUGAUAAGCAGAUUGCUGGUGAGAACAAGGAUAAGCACAAGUACAAUUUCCCACCAAAGGUUGAAGAAUGGUUGGAAUUUCAAUCACGAAAGGCAGACUCCGAAGAAGCUGUUCUAUAUGACGACAACGAGUGGAAGUAUGAGGUGAAAGAGCCCGGAGGAACCACAAAUGAUGGCCGCCAGCACGGAGGCCGGGCUUUCAAGGUCUCCCUAACACGGUGUGAUUGCAGCUGCAUGAGGCCGUCUUUGCUUCAUCUCCCAUGCUCGCACUUGUUAAAUGCAUCCCGGGUUAGGAAUGUGGACGUCAAUCACCCUCUAACCGUGAGGGAGUCCUAGUUCUCAAACAUGACGGUAAAGAAGACAUGGACUCCACGGUUCCAGCCAUACUUGGACCAAUCACAAUGGCCGGAGUAUCAUGGAGUUCAACUAUGGCCGGACCCG